rnacentral:rRNA from 1 species
GACGAACGCUGGCGGCGUGCUUAACACAUGCAAGUCGAACGGAAAGGCCCUUCUUUUGUGGGGUGCUCGAGUGGCGAACGUGUGAGUAACACGUUAGUAACCUGCCCUUGACUUUGGGAUAACUUCAGGAAACUGGGGCUAAUACCGGAUAGGAGCUCCUGCUGCAUGGUGGGGGUUGGAAAGUUUCGGCGGUUGGGGAUGGACUCGCGGCUUAUCAGCUUGUUGGUGGGGUAGUGGCUUACCAAGGCUUUGACGGGUAGCCGGCCUGAGAGGGUGACCGGCCACAUUGGGACUGAGAUACGGCCCAGACUCCUACGGGAGGCAGCAGUGGGGAAUAUUGCACAAUGGGCGGAAGCCUGAUGCAGCAACGCCGCGUGCGGGAUGACGGCCUUCGGGUUGUAAACCGCUUUCGCCUGUGACGAAGCGUGAGUGACGGUAAUGGGUAAAGAAGCACCGGCUAACUACGUG